rnacentral:rRNA from 1 species
AAAUCACAUGAGUCAUUAAUUGAUGGUGAUUGUGAUAACAUAAGGGAAAAAAAUGAUGUUACCUUAUUAUUAGUGUUGUCCAAAACUGGUGCCAGAAGACUCGGUAAGACCAGAGACGCAAACGUUAGUCAUCUUAAUCAGGCGUAAAGGGUGUGUAGGCUGCUUUUAAAGUUUAAAUCUUUGUAAUAGCUCUGUUACCGUACUAUUACAUACAAAUUGAAUUAAAAAAGACUAAAUUAUAAAUUAAAAAAAAAUAAAACAGUCAUAUCAAUAAAAUGUAAUAUAUAAAAUUUAUCCACAAAAUAAAUGAUAUAAAUAAAUAAAAUAAAUAAAAUAAAAUAAAUAAAAAAUAUCCGUGUAUCAGUAAAGAAAUAAAUGAAUAAAAGCUAGGAUCAAAUUGAGGAUAAACCAAAUAAUACUUAGAGUAGGGCUUAUAUCCGUAGAUACUAAGGGGAAUACUAAAGGUGAAAGCUUUUUAUCUACUAUUGAUUGACGCUGAGAAACGAAGGUGAGAAUAGGAAAUAGGAUUAGAUACCCAGAUACCUCUCACUGUCAACGAUGAAUGGUGGUUUGUUAGUUUUAAUAAAAACUGGUAACGAUGUUAACACGAUAACCAUUCCGCCUUGCGAGUACGGUUGCAAAACUGAAACCAAAAAAAUUAGUCGGUUUCGAAGCAAACGAAGUGAGCAUGUUAUUUAAUACGAGAGUACUUGCAUAUCCAAUUUUGUUCUUAGAAAUUUCUAAGUUCUUUUUAAUAAGAAAACAGAUUGAGUCAUUUUUAAUCAUUUUAAAAAUUCGUUUACA